UACGGGGGGGGCAAGCGUUGUUCGGAAUUACUGGGCGUAAAGGCUCGUAGGCGCCAACUAAGUCGGAUGUGAAAUCCCCAAGCUUAACUUGGGAACUGCAUCCGAUACUGGAUGGCUUGAAUCCGGGAGAGGGAUGCAGAAUUCCAGGUGUAGCGGUGAAAUGCGUAGAUAUCUGGAGGAAUACCGGUGGCGAAGGCGGCAUCCUGGACCGGCAUUGACGCUGAGGAGCGAAAGCUAGGGGAGCAAACGGG
rnacentral:rRNA from 1 species